GGUUUAGACCGUCGUGAGACAGGUUAGUUUUAACUUACUGAUGAUGUGCUGUUGCAAUAGUAAUCCUGCCCAGUACGAGAGGAACCGCAAGUCAAACACAAA